rnacentral:lncRNA from 1 species
CCCAAAAAAAAAAAAAAAAAAAAGCCACAACGCACCAAACACUGAUGCUCAACAUUGUUCGCUUCGUGGCCAUCGUGAGGUGGCCACAACGCGUUGUGGACGAUUCCGCCAAGGCCAAUACGCGUUUUGCUCGUUUUGGGGCGGCCACGCACGGUUCUGAAACGGACCAGGGUAUGUAUUUUAGUAGUAUGCUCCGUGCAGACUACUACAAAUUACUGCUAAUUCUCCAUAUACGCAUGUGUGUGUGGAGAAUUUGGACAUGUAUAGCAUGUGUACACAUGUGCACGUAGUAGGAGAGUCCUGAUGCUUUCCGUAGCAUACUACUACAAAUACAUGGCUUGAUCAGUUUCAGAGCGGUGUGUGGUCGCUUCGAAACGCCCAGAACGCUUAAUUGGUUUUGGCGGAGUUGUCCGCAGCGCGUUGUGGUUGCUUCGCGAUGGCCACGAAGCGAAAUAAUCUUGAGCAUCGGUGUUUGGUCAUUUGGAUGACCACAAGGCACUGUGGCUGUUUUUUCGGCCAUUGUGCGAUUUCGGUGUUUGGCCGUAACAUAUACAUCCAUUUAUAUUA